rnacentral:rRNA from 1 species
UUGAAACACGGACCAAGGAGUGCAACAUGCGCGCGAGUCUCCGGGUGGCAAACCCGUGGGCGCAAUGAAGGUGAAGGCGGCGCCUCGGCCCGCUGUGGCGAGAGCCCUUCCCUSYGGGAGGGCGCAUCGUCGACCGUUCCCGAGUCACGCUGUGGCGGGAUAUGAGUGAGAGCGUGCCCGUUGCGACCCGAAAGAUGGUGAACUAUGCCUGAAUAGGGCGAAGCCAGAAGAAAUUCUGGUGGAAGCUCGCAGCGAUUCUGACGUGCAAAUCGAUCGUCAAAUUUGGGUAUAGGGGCGAAAGACUAAUCGAACCAUCUAGUAGCUGGUUCCCUCCGAAGUUUCCCUCAGGAUAGCUGGAGCCCGGUGCAGUUUUAUCAGGUAAAGCGAAUGAUUAGAGGUCUUGGGGCUGAAACAGCCUCAACCUAUUCUCAAACUUUAAAUGGGUAAGAAGCCCGGCUUGCUCGGUUGAAGUCGGGCGCAGAAUGCCGGGGCUCCCAGUGGGCCAUUUUUGGUAAGCAGAACUGGCGAUGUGGGAUGAACCAAAUGCCGGGUUAAGGUGCCGGAAUCGACGCUCAUCAGAUCCCAUGAAAGGUGUUGGUUGAUACUGACAGCAGGACGGUGGCCAUGGAAGUCGGAAUCCGCUAAGGAGUGUGUAACAACUCACCUGCCG